rnacentral:rRNA from 1 species
AAUAACAGACAUACCAUUCUGAAAGUGCCUGAUCUUGUUUGAUCCCAGAAGCCAAGCAGGGUUGGGCCUGGUUAAUAUUAGGUGGGAGAAAUAAUAAUGGCUAACGCUGAUGUGU